AACGAACGCUGGCGGCAUGCCUAACACAUGCAAGUCGAACGGGAUCCGAGCUUCGGUUCGGUGAGAGUGGCGGACGGGUGAGUAACGCGUGGGAACCUGCCCAGUGGUGGGGGAUAACUGCGGGAAACUGCAGCUAAUACCGCAUGAGCCCGAGAGGGGAAAGAUUUAUCGCCAUUGGAGGGGCCCGCGUUCGAUUAGGUAGUUGGUGAGGUUACGGCUCACCAAGCCUUCGAUCGAUAGCUGGUCUGAGAGGAUGAUCAGCCACACUGGGACUGAGAUACGGCCCAGACUCCUACGGGAGGCAGCAGUGGGGAAUAUUGGACAAUGGGGGGCAACCCUGAUCCAGCAAUGCCGCGUGAGUGAUGAAGGCC
rnacentral:rRNA from 1 species